AGAGUUUGAUCCUGGCUCAGGACGAACGCUGGCGGCAGGCUUAACACAUGCAAGUCGCACGAGAACGCUCCUUCGGGAGCAAGUAAAGUGGCGGACGGGUGCGUAACGCGUAGACAACCUGCCCUUGAGCGGGGGAUAACCACGGGAAACUGUGGCUAAUACCGCAUAACGUCCGGAUCCCGCAUGGGAACCGGAUCAAAGUCUUCGGACGCUCAGGGAUGGGUCUGCGUCGGAUUAGCUCGUUGGUGAGGUAACAGCUCACCAAGGCAACAAUCCGUAGCUGGUCUGAGAGGAUGAUCAGCCACACUGGCACUGAGACACGGGCCAGACUCCUACGGGAGGCAGCAGUGGGGAAUCUUAGGCAAUGGGGGAAACCCUGACCUAGCCAUGCCGCGUGGAGGAAGACACCCCUACGGGGCGUAAACUCCUUUUCUGCCGGAAGAAAACCCUGUUUUGCAGGGCGUGACGGUACGGCAGGAAUAAGCACCGGCUAACUCCGUGCCAGCAGCCGCGGUAAUACGGAGGGUGCAAGCGUUGUCCGGAAUCACUGGGCGUAAAGGGUGUGUAGGUGGGGCGGCAAGUCAGGGGUGAAAGCCCACAGCUUAACUGUGGAAGUGCCCUUGAAACUGCCGUUCUUGAGUCCUGGAGAGGUUGCCGGAAUUCGUGGUGUAGCGGUGAAAUGCGUAGAUAUCACGAGGAACACCAGAGGCGUAGGCGGGCAACUGGACAGGUACUGACACUGAGGCACGAGAGCGUGGGGAGCAAACAGGAUUAGAUACCCUGGUAGUCCACGCCGUAAACGAUGAAUGCUCGCCGUUGUCCCAUUUAGGGGGCAGUGGCUAAGCUAACGCGUUAAGCAUUCCGCCUGGGGAGUACGACCGCAAGGUUGAAACUCAAAGGAAUUGACGGGGGCCCGCACAAGCGGAGGAGCAUGUGGUUUAAUUCGAUGAUACGCGAGGAACCUCACCUAGGCUUAAAUGCUUUUUGACCGUCCUGGAAACAGGAUUUCCCUUCGGGGCAAAUUGCAAGGUGCUGCAUGGUUGUCGUCAGCUCGUGCCGUGAGGUGUCGGGUUAAGUCCCAUAACGAGCGCAACCCCUAUUCUUAGUUGCCAUCAGGUAAUGCUGGGAACUCUAAGGAAACUGCCUACGCAAGUAGUGAGGAAGGUGGGGAUGACGUCAAAUCAGCACGGCCCUUACGCCUAGGGCUACACACGUGCUACAAUGGCCAGCAUAGUGGGUUGCUACCUGGUAACAGGAUGCUAAUCUCUAAAUCUGGUCUCAGUUCGGAUUGAAGUCUGCAACUCGACUUCAUGAAGUUGGAUUCGCUAGUAAUCGCGCAUCAGCAAUGGCGCGGUGAAUACGUUCCCGGGCCUUGUACACACCGCCCGUCAAGCCAUGGAAGCUGGGAGUGCCUGAAGUCUGUAACCGCAAGGAGCGGCCUAGGGUAAAACUGGUGACUGGGGCUAAGUCGUAACAAGGUAACC
rnacentral:rRNA from 1 species